GUGCCAGCCGCUGCGGUAAUACGGGGGUGCGAGCGUUGUCCGGAAUCACUGGGCGUAAAGGGCGCGUAGGUGGUCUUGUAAGUCUGUGGUGAAAGCCCGGGGCUCAACCCCGGGUCUGCCGUGGAUACUGUGAGACUUGAGUGCUGUAGAGGCAGGUAGAAUAUCGGGUGUAGCGGUGGAAUGCGUAGAGAUCCGAUAGAAGACCGGUGGCGAAGGCGGCCUGCUGGGCAGUAACUGACACUGAGGCGCGACAGCGUGGGAGCAAACAGGAUUAGAUACCCUGGUAGUCCACGCCGUAAACGAUGGGUACUAGGUGCUUGGGGAGCGACCCCCUGAGUGCCGGCGCUAACGCAGG
rnacentral:rRNA from 1 species